CAAAAGAGACACGAGAUGUAAUGUAUUCUAUCACAAUACAUCUUUGAAAAAUACCAACCCUACCCAGUCCAACUACAGCAGUACCAACCCUACCCAGUCCAACUACAGCAGUACCUACCCUACCCAGUCCAACUAUAGCAGUACCAACCCUACCCAGUCCAACUAUAGCAGUACCAACCCUACCCAGUCCAACUAUAGCAGUACCAACCCUACCCAGUCCAACUAUAGCAGUACCCACCCUACCCAGUCCAACUAUAGCAGUAUCAACCCUACCCAGUCCAACUAUAGCAGUACCAACCCUACCCAGUCCAACUACAGCAGUACCAACCCUACCCAGUCCAACUAUAGCAGUACCAACCCUACCCAGUCCAACUAUAGCAGUACCAACCCUACCCAGUCCAACUAUAGCAGUACCAACCCUACCCAGUCCAACUAUAGCAGUACCUACCCUACCCUACCCAACCUGCAACCACUCCGCAGUACCAACCCUACCCAGUCCAACUAUAGCAGUACCAACCCUACCCAGUCCAACUAUAGCAGUACCAACCCUACCCAGUCCAACUAUAGCAGUACCCCACCCUACCCAGUCCAACUAUAGCAGUACCCACCCUACCCAGUCCAACUAUAGCAGUACCAACCCUACCCAGUCCAACUAUAGCAGUACCAACCCUACCCAGUCCAACUAUAGCAGUACCCACCCUACCCAGUCCAACUAUAGCAGUACCCACCCUACCCAGUCCAACUAUAGCAGUACCCACCCUACCCAGUCCAACUAUAGCAGUACCCACCCUACCCAGUCCAACUACAGCAGUACCCACCCUACCCAGUCCAACUACAGCAGUACCCACCCUACUUUUGUGGAGAGAUGGAUAACAAUGCUUCGAUGGUGGCUGUUGUCGAUGUGUUCCUGGUUUGAGCCCAGGUAGGGGCGAGGAGAGGGACGGAACCUAUACUGUUACACUGGCAAUACUAAAGUGCCUAUAAGAACAUCCAAUAGUCAAAGGUUAAUGAAAUACAAAUGGUAGAGAGAAAUAGUCCUAUAAUUCCUAUAAUAACUACAACCUAAAACUUCUUACAUGGGAAUAUUGAAGACUCAUGUUAAAAGGAACCACCAGCUUUCAUAUGUUCUCAUGUUCUGAGCAAGGAACUUAAAUGUUAGCUUUCUUACAUGGCACAUAUUGCAGUCGGAGUCUAGAUCACAAAUGACACCCUAUUCACUAUGUAGUACACUACUCUUGACCAGGGCACAUAGGACUCUAUAUGCACU
rnacentral:lncRNA from 1 species